CACCAUAUUGUUGCCUGGAAGCGGAGCUUGACCUGUUCCUGGCCAAGGUGAAGGAGGGACCUUGGCUGGCCCAGGAAGGCAAGGAACAGGGCAGUCCCACUUUAGAUACGGCCACAGUAAGGACGUCCCCACCUGCACUCUGUCUUUAGGGGACUGGGGAAGGAGAGCGGGACCCCCUCUUUCUUGACCUUCCACAGGAACCUUUCCUUGCAUUUGAGCCUCCUUCUUUCUCUCUGCUGGCAUGAGCGAGGCAGGCCAUCGGCGGAUUCGUCAGACACAUCAAGGACAGCACUCUCCUGGAGGGGUGGUUCCUGGAGCUUCUGCUCGCCUUGGUGACCAACUUCAUUGAGGUCACAAGGCCUGGGUUGGAGGGGGGCCUGAGAGGCGCUGGGCCUUGGGGAGAUAGCCUCCCUGGGGAGUCCAUGUGCCAUCCCUCACUUGCUGACCUGCCUUUCCUCCUCCUUCCCUCUCUUCCUUCCAGGGCUGCUCAACUUCCUUGUCAACCGUGACCCUGAAGUCAGGCAAGUUGGCAGGGAGACCAAGGCUAUCCUUACCAGGGCCUCCGCCCUCCACUCCCAACAUGGGCUGUGGGCUUCUCUUCGGCGCUUGGUGGUGUCCUGCAGGCAGAAGAGGUAUCCCCCAGAGUACGCCAAGAAACCACCCACCUGAUGGACUGGAACGCCACGAUCCCCUGUGAGCUUGCCCGGCAGGAAGACCCCCGCUCCAGCUGUGCCACAGCCCCAAAGGGAAGUAGCGUCAAGGAGGUGCUAGUCUGCCCAGCCCCGGCCCAGGGAAGCCCUGCCCCCUUGCAGAAGCCCCGCCCCCACUCUGGGCCCCAUUGUCACCCAGGGGCCCUUGGGAGCAGAGCAGAGCAGAGCAGAGCAGAGCAGAGCAGAGCAGAGCAGAGAAGGAAGACCACCUGGGCCACCCAGGCCCCUCUGAUGUGCUCUGUUCUGUUCUUUGCUGUGUGGAAUUUGGGGGCCUGGAGUGGAGGGGCCACCACCUGCACCCUGGGCCUUCCUCUUCCUCCUGGGCUGGGGCCCGCCUCUUUUGACCUGCGACCUCCCCCUCCCUGACCCCUCCCUCUCGGCCUGGGAUGCCACCACCACCCCCUCCCUCCCUCCCUCCCUUCUCAAUGUCACCUGUCAUAUCUUCACAAUAAGCUUUAUAUCAGGCAUUGUAUAUUCAAAUCUUCAUUUAACUCUGCAGGUUCCAGUGCUUUCUUUUGUGCUUGUGGCUCCCCUCCAGGACCCAGAAACCCAUCUCUGAUGUGGGAUGUUGUGCAUCUCCCAUCUUUUAUUUGUCUUAUGUGAAGGUGCUACCAGUUUAAAUGAAUAUUUGAAUGCAUAAUCCCUUAUAUAAAGAUUAUUGUGGAGAUAUGGCAGUAAACUGAGGCUGGAUCUACACUGCCAUACAAUGCAGUCUGUAUUGCGUUAUAUCGUCAGUGUAAACCCAUAUAAUACCUUUGAACUGCACCAAACUGAUUAUAUGGGUCUACACUGAGCAUAUAUCAGUUAAAACUGCAUUAUUUGGCAACGUAACGUUUGGGGCAACUGGGUCAGGUCUUCAGAGGGAGCCUUGCUCCUCUCUUCUUCUCCUGAGCCCUAACUUGGGGUAUGAAUGAUCCAUUCCUUUGGAGAGUAUCUUAUACCAUCCCAGACUUUUCGGGGACUUUUAUGGGAUCCCAGACAUGCACUGUGUGGUGUAGAAAGGUGUCUUGAGAACACUUUGGACAUGUCCUUGUUUAUAUAUUGAACAGAAUUGCAUUUGUAUUUUCCGGUGAAACCACCGGGGAAGGCCGACCCAUUUGUGGCUGUCAAUGGCCUUUAGAAACCUAUGAAGCAGGUGGCCAUUCCUCCUUCCCUGGUGCUGUGUCUCCUGACGGGCCGAGAUCCCCCUUGAGUUGGCCUUGCCCCCCCCCACCUGCCCCUCUCCUCACCUGAAUUCACCCGGAAGGAGGCCUGGCUGCCGGGGGGGGGGGGCAGUAAGGAGGAGAGGCAGCGGACUCCACUGACGCUGCUCUGGGGUUCUUGCAGGGCCACUCCGAACGGAGGAUGCAAGGGACAGUGACCUUCAAGGGACCACGACCACUGAGGGACGCUGAAUAUCAAAGGACCCUGGUCAUCAAGGGACAUUAACAUCAAGGGAGCCUGACCCUGACCUCCGAGGCACCUUGACCAUCAAGGGACACUUAACAUUGAGAGACCCUGACUGGCACCUGCAGGAAGAAGGAAGGAGAAGACAGAACUUCCUUUUUUGCUUUAUUGUAAGAUUUUAAAAUUUGUGUGUGUUGUUUUUUAAUAUAUUAUUAUUGUCAUGUGUGGGAGAAGACUCCACUCCCUGGUAAAAGCGCUGCUCUUCCCCAUUGGUUGCUGUGGCUGCCUCCUGUGAAUCCGGGACUGGCAGUAGAGGGAGGCCCAGGCCUCCCUGGCAGAGGGUUUCCAAGGCCCUCCUCCCUCCUCUGCAAACCCCAGGAGUCACAGCCCAGCGCUGGAGGGGAAGAGCCGCCCUUGAACAGCACAAUGAGAGAAGCCCCCCACUCUCUGUUUAUUGUAAUUUAAGAUUAUAUAAUUGUCUAGUCUAAUAUUGUAUUAUUUAAUAUGUGAUUAGAAUAAAUGUAACCCUUUAUUUCUAAUUUAGCACUUUCCAUGGAUUCCUUUGGGAAGGGAGACCCAAACCGCUCAGGACCUGCAAUUCAGGCUCCAUCGACACUGACCCUUUCGUGCAGUUUGAACUGCAUAUGAGGCUGGGUUUAUACUGCCCUCUAUUCCAGGACCUGAUCCCAGAUUAUCUGCUUGGAUUAUAUGAGUCUGGGGAAAGCAGAUAGUCUGGGAUCAAAUCCUGUGGUAUAGGGAAGUGUAGAUCCAACCUGAGUCUGUACUGAACAUAUAAUGCAGUUCAAAUUGCAUGAAAUGCCAGUGUAGAUAUGGCUGUCAGCCCCAUCUACACUGCUUUAUAAUCCAGUUUCAGAAUGCAUAUUAGCCGUGGUUCAAAAUGGAUUAUAUGGCAGUUUAGACGGGGCCUAAGACUAAGAAGUGAGAGAAGAUGACAGUGUUACAAUGUAGAGGAGAUCUACACUGUCCUAUUUCACAGGAUCUGAUCCCAGAUUAUCUGCAUUAAAUUGGAAUAUUUGAGUCUACACUGCCAAAUAAUCUGGGAUCAGAUCCUGGGAUAAGGGGCAGUGUGGAAGGGGCCGUAGUUGGUGCUAAUAUAGUCCUGGACGUACAGUGGAGAGAGGCCCAGGCCGUCCAAGGCCCUCCUCCCCCUACUGCAAAUCCUAGGAUUUUCAGUUCAGCAUUGGAGAAGAACUGCCCUUGAACCAAACAGUGAGAGUAUCCCAUUUGCUCCGUUUUUGUAGUGAUUGUAUCAUCUUAAUAUUGUAAUAUUUAAUAUCUGUUCGGAUUAGAAUAAAUGUACUCCUUUCUUUUUAAUUUGAUGCUUUCCUUGGAUUCCUUUGGGGAGGGGGAGGGAUAGCCAAACCACCCAGGACAUGCAACUCAGGCCCCAUCUACACUGCCAUAUAAUGCAGUUCAAACUGCAUUAUAUAGUGAGUGUCGGCUCAUAUGAUGCAAUUUAACACAGUUAUAGGAAUCUACACUAACCAUAUAAUACAGUUUGAACUGCACUAAGUUGACACUGUAGGCGAGGCCUAAGAUGAAAUGAAAAUACUGGUGUUUAGUUUAUGCAAAUAUUUGUGUCAUUACACUAUGUCAUGUUAAGAUCAUGAUGUGACCGUGAUGGCAUGGCUGUAUAAAUUAAAUCUGCAUAUUUUUUAAAAGAA